rnacentral:lncRNA from 1 species
AAAAUUGAAGUUCACAUUUAUAUUCAGCACUAAAUCUUCCGGUGUAUCAAACGUCAUAUAAAUGGAAGAACAUAAAAGGACUCGAUUUAAGCGACAUUUGUUGCCAUCAAAAAGUGCCGCUUUUUUCUGUUGUUUGUUGUUGAAAGCUUUUUCAUGACACUGAACGUGCAUUUUGGAUUUGAUUUAUUCUAAUGAUUUAUCAUUAUUAUGGUAAAAAUAGAACCCCC